rnacentral:rRNA from 42 species
UUAAAUUGAAGAGUUUGAUCAUGGCUCAGAUUGAACGCUGGCGGCAGGCCUAACACAUGCAAGUCGAACGGUAACAGGAAGCAGCUUGCUGCUUUGCUGACGAGUGGCGGACGGG